CCUACGGGUGGCAGCAGUGGGGAAUAUUGCGCAAUGGGCGAAAGCCUGACGCAGCGACGCCGCGUGAGGGAUGAAGGUCUUCGGAUCGUAAACCUCUGUCAGCAGGGAAGAACGGUCACUGUGCUAAUCAGCAGUGAAUUGACGGUACCUGCAAAGGAAGCACCGGCUAACUCCGUGCCAGCAGCCGCGGAAAUACGGAGGGUGCGAGCGUUAAUCGGAAUUACUGGGCGUAAAGCGCUCGUAGGCGGUAUGUCAAGUCAAGGGUGAAAUCCCCGCGCUCAACGUGGGAACUGCCAUUGAAACUGGCAAACUGGAGUGUGUGAGAGGAUAGUGGAAUUCGAGGUGUAGGAGUGAAAUGCGUAGAUAUCUGGAGGAACAUCAGUGGCGAAGGCGACUAUCUGGCACAUAACUGACGCUGAGGAGCGAAAGCGUGGGGAGCAAACAGGAUUAGAUACCCUUGUAGUC
rnacentral:rRNA from 1 species